CCUCAAGGCUCGUAUUUUCCCGCUGACUGCAAGCACGCGCCGUUUGCACGCGCUCAGUACAGUGUGUGAGUGGUGCACACUCUCACACGCACGCCCUGAGAGGCACAACCUGUCACUGCCUCAGCCUCCAUGAUUCUCGUCUCCCGUUGUUAUUUGAACAAGAAAUACAGCUAUUUUGACUAUGAAAAUGAUCCAAAUGUAUGGGAAACACACCAAAAUUGCAUUAAAAGCAUAGACCACAGGACAGAUAUUAUAUUAUGUUUUAUUAUAUUAUCCAUUUUUUAACAACUUAUGGUGACAGCUGAGGAAACCAUGUUGAGCCCUUUACCGCCCCUGGUGGCAAGGUGAGGCACUGCCUCACCUGCCUCCUAUGAGUGCACGUGCCUGGUUGCAAUGCUGGCGAG